UCUGCACUUAUCCUUAGCUCAGUUUUCAGACCCUGAAGGAAUUCCUAUACCUGAAGGGCUCCAGGCUGUGUAUUUAUGUCAUGGUGUACCUGCCAGCGUGAAAUGAGUUCACACUUGAGGUCUAGGAGAAAUGGAACUUGGCACUUAUUGCAUCUCUGGUUAAAAGCAUCCAUCAUUUUUCUUUUCUAGGGUGAGGAAGAGCAGUGCAAGCAUUGUGCACGCUCACCUGGCUGUCUGCUUCAUGACCAGGUAUGGACUGAGCCAUCACCUCUGUGUACAUGAGAAUAAGUGAUCUUCAGAUGGAGUUAACAACUGUUAUUUGUGUCAAAGAAAGCGACUGGUAGUAAGGGUGAGUGGAGAGGACCUGCAGGCAUCACAGGACAUGAAAACAGCAGAGUCUAAGAAGACAUGAGCUUUUCUGUGCUCACAGUAAAAUCACCAGGAUUCUUGCCAUGAAUGCAAGAACUGAGUUGCUCCUUCAGCAGUUCAGUACCCAUCACCAUAUUAUCUAGGCGCCACCAUAAGAUUAAGGAGCUCAACAUGAUCUGCUCAGGGGUCAUUAGCAGAGCCUUUCAUACUGGAGAGGGUUGGAGGAGACUAAGGAAGUGCACAGCAGAAGGAAAGAAAAAGGAAAAGGAGAGGGAAAUGCCACAAUGCUUGUGUGGAAGGAGUCACAAAGAUGGACACUGGAGUAAAUGAGAGCGCACAUAACUCACCAUCUAGCCUGUUUGGUCUGCCCACAUCGGUUCCUGACUCUAUACACUUCCCCAUUAUUUUCCAGUAUCUCCUGGCAGAUCAGUGAGAUCAGAGGUGCAUCAUGCUAAACACUAUGUGGACACAGCUCCUCACUGCAGCCCAAUGCAAAGCAUGGAAAGGCAGAAGAGGGGCAAAGAUUAAAGAAGAUAAUGCCAGAAGUCAACAGUUGCAUCACUGAAUAAGGCGCUGCUGGUAGUGUGCUGGAGGUGAGCUGGAGAGGAGAGUGAGAGCAGUGGUGUCCGUGCGUGUGGACAGGCUGGGGGAGCACAGGGCUGCUAUGGGGGACCUUGGGGUGAGAUGUGACUUUACCUGAAAGUUUGAUGUAAGUGGAUCAAUGUUGCAAUGAAGGCUGUGAAAUAGAGAAGUAAAAUUGAAGUUUAUUUCUGA